GAUGAACGCUGGCGGCGUGCAUAACACAUUCAAGUCGAACGAGGUAGCAAUACCUAGUGGCGGACGGGUGAGUAACGCGUGAGCAACCUGCCCUUGUGUGGGGGAUACCGUCUGGAAACGGACGUUAAUACCGCAUAAUAUAGCGGAAUCGCAUGGUUCUGUUAUCAAAGAUUUAUUGCGCAAGGAUGGGCUCGCGUUGGAUUAGAUAGUUGGUGAGGUAACGGCCCACCAAGUCUGCGAUCCAUAGCCGGACUGAGAGGUUGAACGGCCACAUUGGAACUGAGAUACGGUCCAGACUCCUACGGGAGGCAGCAGUGGGGAAUAUUGGGCAAUGGGCGAAAGCCUGACCCAGCGACGCCGCGUGAAGGAAGAAGGUCUUCGGAUUGUAAACUUCUUUUAUUAGGGACGAACAGAUGACGGUACCUAAUGAAUAAGCCACGGCUAACUACGUG
rnacentral:rRNA from 1 species